ACUGACAUCACCUCAGACAUAUCCUGGGGCCAUCCAUACCACACUGAAGGCUGAUUUCAUUUCUCGCAUUGUGCCUUGUUGGGAACAGGACCACAAAUGCACUGCGAAGCAUUGAAAGGCAUUUCCCACUUCCGCUUAUCUCAAAACGUAGCAAAGCCCAAAUGUGAAACCAGAGGUGGUGCAAGAGGUUUUUCCAGCGUUCGCCUGCCUGUCUCGAGGAGGUGCAAAGCCAGAAAAAUGCCAGUGGAGUGACGCCGAUUUCUUUGUGCGACGACGAGCUUCCACCGGCGCCCGUUUGAGAAAUCUCUUCUGAAUUGGAAAGCAGCGCAAGGAUCGGGAUAGAGGAAAACACGGAGAGCAGCUCCAUUUCCUGGGGACUUUCACUGCCAGCAAGAGGCAGUUCUCAGGCAAUGGCGUUGCUGCGCGGUCGAUACCUGCUGACCCCAGCCUGCAGCUGAUGUGCAGCUCUAGGGCUGCCCCAACUCUUCCUCUUCAGGAUUUCAGGAAAGUGAAUCCUGAGAGCUCGCAUGGCUGGAGACGCUGCCAAAAACGAGGGUGCCAAGUUGCUGAACCUCUCCUGCACCAGGCAGGCAGCUCCUCUCCCCUUGCCACCAGCCAGCAGCACCACAGGAGGUAAGUCCUGGCUCCAGCCCUUGCUCCCCUUCCAGAGAAAUCCCUAAAAGUAACCAAAUGGGCCCUGGUGGGAUGGGGGGAGCAGAGACAACCCCCUCCUCCCCUGCAAGCGGUGGGGUGGCAGGGAUGGGGGGUAUCACCUGGCAGUGCUGCAGGUGCUGCCUGACACAGCUCCGAGCCCAGCAUCCUUCCUCCCUUGUGCCCCCCUAUUUAAUCCCAGCAAGCCCCCCACCAUUCCCCUAUAUCUUAAGGACCUGUGGGUGGCUCCUGAACGGCAGCCAGGGGACCUCAGGCCACUCUGAGAGAGCUCCCUUGAUUUCCCCCAGCCGGCUGUGGGGCACCCACGCGUGGGUCGGCCACGCAGGACGCGGUCCCCGGCAGCCCCCCCCCCCA